UACGUAGGUCACGAGCGUUAUCCGGAAUUAUUGGGCGUAAAGAGUGAGCAGGCGGCACUGUAAGUUGGAAGUGAAAGCGUGGGGCUUAACCCCAUACAGCUCCCAAAACUGCAGAGCUAGAGUGCGUGAGAGGUAAACGGAACUCCAUGUGUAGCGGUGAAAUGCGUAGAUAUAUGGAAGAACACCAGCGGCGAAGGCGGUUUACCAGCACGAUACUGACGCUCAGUCACGAAAGCGUGGGUAGCAAAUA
rnacentral:rRNA from 1 species